CUUUAAAAAUGAGAGAGAGAGAAAGAAAGACUUUCUCAGACAAACAAAAACGGAGGGAAUUUACCACCAGUCGGCCUACUCUGCAAAAACUGUUAAAAGCUGUUCAGAGAGAAGGAAAAUGAUACAGCUCAGACAUUUGGAUCCACAUAAUCAAAGGAAGAACGUCUGAGAAGGAAAAGAAAACUGGAACAGGAGUGAAAAGACUGAAUUCUUAUGCCAGCUGUGUGAUCUCAGACUGCAGUUUGAUGAGUUUGGACUAACGCAUACCUGCUGUGCCCACCACCACAAGCAAGAGAGAACAUUUCCAUGACCUCCAAAGUCCCUCAUGCCCCUUUUACCAUCAAGCCCUUCUCACAUCCAUGACCCUAGGCACUACUGCUCUGCUUUUGAUCAUGACCAUUUUGCCUUUUCCAGAAUCUCAUAUAAAUGAAAUCAUACACUGUGUAGUCUUUUGUGUCUGUUUUACUUAUGACGUUUCUGAAUUCAUCAACGUUUUACUUAUGAUGUUUCUGAAUUCAUCCACGUUGUUGCGUGUAGCAGUAGUCUUCCAGUGAAUGAGUAUGUCACAAUUGGUUUAUCCAUUAACCAAUUGAUGGGCACUUGGGAUGUUUCCAGUCUGGGGCUAUUAUGAAUAAAGCUACUGAGAAAAUUCAUGUAACAAGUAAAUCUUUGUGUAGACAUGUUUUAAUUUCUGUUGGAUAAAUAUGUAAGAAUGGGAUUUCCAGGUCAUAUAGUAACUUUAUAAGAAGCUGCCAAACUGUUUUCCAAAGUGGCUGCAUCAUUUUUGCAUUCCCACCAGCAAUGUAGGAAAGUUCCAGCAGCUCCACAUCCUUAUCAACACUUCUUAUUGCCAGUCUCUAAUUUUGGCAUUCCACUGAAUGUUUAACGAUAUUUCACUCUGGUUUUCAUUUGCAUCUCCCUAAUGACUAAAUAAUGUUGAGCCUCUUUUCAUGUGCUUAUUUGUCAUUCAUUUAUUUUCUUCGACGAAGCGUCUAUCUAAAUCUUUCGUAUUUUUCAAAAGAUGGAGUCAUUUGUCUUCUUAUCAUUUAAUUUUGAGUUCUUUUUUGGACACAAAGCUUUUAUUAGCCACAUGUUUU
rnacentral:lncRNA from 1 species